GACGUAGGGCGCGAGCGUUGUCCGGAUUUAUUGGGCGUAAAGAGCUCGUAGGCGGCUUGUCGCGUCGACUGUGAAAACCCGUGGCUCAACCAUGUGGUCUGCAGUCGAAACGGGCAGGCUAGAGUCCGGUAGGGGAGACUGGAAUUCCUGGUGUAGCGGUGAGAUGCGCAGAUAUCAGGAGGAACACCGGUGGCGAAGGCGGGUCUCUGGGCCGAUACUGACGCUGAGGAGCGAAAGCGUGGGGAGCGAACAGG
rnacentral:rRNA from 1 species